UUUGUCCUUAGUGACUUCGGAAAAGGCUUUAAUGCCAAGUUCGCGCGCAAAUUCAUCCGAUGCCGGGUAGUGAAGCCAGUAGGAGAGAACGCGUAUGCUCUGGAGGACCUUAACGGCCGUCCCAUAGGAGUGUACCACGCCAAAGACCUGAGAAUGUAGUGAGGUGUGGGUGUGGCCUACGUUGGGCGCGGCAGAAGAAUACAGGGCACGCCGGCGGGUGCUCAAUAGUGUUCCGGAAUCCGGUGGGCAUGCCCACGCGUAUGUUGUCCCUCCUGGGACUGACGACAUACUCGUGGUGGUGUUCCAGUCCCACCUGAACGAUAGGUGGCCAGGGCUGAGGGCGACGCGCCAUCUAGCGGAAGUCCAGGGAGGCUCGAUGGUCGAUGGGGACAUCGGGGGGAGCUGGAGCCGUUACUGGGGAUAUAAGGAAGAGAAUAGGAUUAGUUAUAUGUAUUAGUAAGGGAAAAAGGGAUAAAUAGGAGUGAAAAGAUUAGAAAACGUGGAUUGGGUUAUGAAAAUCGUGGAGCGUGGACGGAGUCACGUCGAGAUCCGAAAUUGUGUGAAUAAAACAAACAGUUUGAAUUUGAACCGGCAAGGAAUACAGCCACUAGAACCGGGCCGGAAGAUUUCCUGGAGAGGAACACUGGAGUCCGAGAAAGUCGACUGCAGGGAAGAAGACGAUACAACGGGACCUGAGUGAGUUCGUUCCAGUUGCGCGUGUGUGAGCCAAGUAGCGCGGGACGUGUGAAGGGAGGGGGUGAAAGAGGUCGAGUGAGCGGCCAGGGCGAUUCUAGCCACACCGCACGAUCGUUGCAUCGCCGUCCAGUGCGUGCCACACGUUUGGGCUCUUUUACAAAGGGAAAACCUCGAAAUCCUAUUCACACACACACACACACACACGCGCACACGUAUACACGAACCUAGAUAAAUUUAGGGCUGACCGGCCACGGCCAGCGAUCAGCGAGCCCACGUUAUUGAACUUAAAGAAAAACAAAUAAUCCGCACUCCAAACACCGUUCCACUGUAAAUGUUAUUUUGUUCC